CUUUCGUCUCCUAGGAGGCACAUAACCACCAGCUGUCCCUGCUUAGCAACUUCUGCAGAAAGAGAGUGCCUUUUCCCCCUACCGUAUUCUUCGCUGCAACUCAGGGAAGGAUUCUCAGUUUCCCUACUUGGGCUACGUGUCACUGCUGCCUGAACACAGACCACUAGGCUUUGUUCGUCCUUAGUCCUACGCCCACUCCUCCAAGUAGCAGAAGAAAGACGAUGGGAAUGUUUGCCGAACAGACAACACCCAAGAAGUACUCUAGCAGGCCUAAAACCUAAGCAGAUAAUCCAAGACGGAGGAGAAGCAUCUCCAUGGCACCUCACUCUGAUUUGCGAGGAUUUGGCCAGAGAAACUGUUCUCAAGAGUGUGAAUUAGGUGGCAGCUACUAUUUUAUGGUACCUCGCUAUCCACUUUGUAAGAAAACAAAAAGAACACAUGAUGAGGCUCUGGGUCAGCCAGGAUUCUAGAUUCUGCUGCCAGACACAUCUUACAAGGAGUCUCCGAGAGCAGAGGGAGCACAUCCCCUGACACCUCGCACAUGACAGUUGCUUCAUCAGUGCUGGUUGUGCUCCUGAGAACUCAGCAUGGAGAGAGGCCUAGUCCCCGCUCCCCUGCUCCCAAUUGCUCUGUGACUCAUUCUCACGGCUCGCCCUUCAGGUUCUCGUUCUUGAAUUUCUCCUGCUCCCUCCCACUCCCAGUCCUUUGCCAUGUCUCCCCUGUGCCUGGAACACUUUUUGAUGCAGGUCACCUCCAGGACUCUGCCACUUUCAAGUUGAGUGUUCCAGGUAGGUCACUGAACCCCUCUGAGUUUCAGUGUCUUUAUCUGUAAAGAUAAAAACUAGACAUAACCUUUGGCUGACUGGGAGAGUUGGGAUUGGAUAAGGCAAGUACUGAGUCCAAGGCCUGGCUCUGAGUCCCUGCCCCAGGGACAGCAGCUCCUGUGAUUUUGGUUCAUCAUGGUAGGUCCCUCCUUCUCUCUCUCUUCUUGGGAACUGCCACCAUCCUUUCUGUUCUUUAACCUGCUUCUCCGCCAAUAAAGGCAGAGUGGAACACUCUCUUCCUGGCUCCUAUUUCCUCGCUGCCUCCAAAGACAAGCCUGUCACCUCCCCACCCCGCCUGCCCACAUCUUUGUUUUACUAAAUGAAGGAAUAAUUAUAAAAAUUUUAGAACUUCAUCAGGUCCUACAAGCAUACACCUGAAUGAUAACUUCCCUGUUGGGAUAAUAGCUAGAAACUCUGUUGGGUGUUUGCCUCUUGCUCGAAUUCCUUAUUUUAUUUUAUUUUGAGCAAAAACACACAUUUAUUUACUAACCAAAGGCUGAUCCUAAUCUAAGCCAACACUUUAAAAUAGCUGCAUGUAAAAUAUUUGUGAUGAAGAUAAUUAAACACAGUAAUGAAAAAAAUAAAAACAAAAACAAGCAGGAUGGAGAUAUGUUCAUUGAACUGAAAUUGUUCCUUCUCUCAGCUAAUUGCUCUCCAAAGCAGUAAGGAAAUUUUUAUUCUGCUUUUUUUAUUUUCACAGAUCUGAG
rnacentral:lncRNA from 10 species